UAGCAUAUCAAUAAGCGGAGGAAAAGAAACCAACAGGGAUUGCCUCAGUAACGGCGAGUGAAGCGGCAAGAGCUCAAAUUUGAAAUCUGGUCCUUUCAGGGCCCGAGUUGUAAUUUGCAGAGGAUGCUUUGGGUGCGGCCGCGGCGUAAGUGCCCUGGAACGGGCUGUCGCAGAGGGUGAGAAUCCCGUCUUGAGUCGCCGGUUCGCGCCCGUGUAAAGCUCCUUCGACGAGUCGAGUUGUUUGGGAAUGCAGCUCUAAAUGGGUGGUAAAUUUCAUCUAAAGCUAAAUAUUGGCUGGAGACCGAUAGCGCACAAGUAGAGUGAUCGAAAGGUUAAAAGCACCUUGAAAAGGGAGUUAAAUAGCACGUGAAAUUGUUGAAAGGGAAGCGCUUGCAACCAGACUCGGCCGCAGAGGCUCAACGGGCACGUGUGCCUGUGCACUCCUCUGUGGUCGGGCCAGCAUCAGUUCUGGCGACCGGUCAAAGGCCCCUGGAAUGUGUCGUCCUCCGGGACGUCUUAUAGCCAGGGGUGCAAUGCGGCCAGCCGGGACUGAGGAACGCGCUUCGGCACGGAUGCUGGCAUAAUGGUUGUAAGCGGCCCGUCUUGAAACACGGACCAAGGAGUCUAACAUCCACGCGAGUGUUCGGGUGUCAAACCCGUGCGCGCAGUGAAAGCGAACGGAGGUGGGAUCCCCGCAAGGGGCGCACCAUCGACCGAUCCUGAAGUCUUCGGAUGGAUUUGAGUAAGAGCGUGGCUGUUGGGACCCGAAAGAUGGUGAACUAUGCCUGAAUAGGGCGAAGCCAGAGGAAACUCUGGUGGAGGCUCGCAGCGGUUCUGACGUGCAAAUCGAUCGUCAAAUUUGGGUAUAGGGGCGA
rnacentral:rRNA from 2 species